rnacentral:lncRNA from 1 species
ACACUUUAUGAGGUCUUUUCGGUUGCAACGGGGCUUGGGUGCGGUAGGAUAGACACAGAAAUGGAUAACAAAUGGUUUUGAACUCGGCAUUCAUGUUGUUUGACUUUCUCUUUUUCUUUUCGUGCUUAACUCACAGCUCUGGGGGUCUAUUCACUUUUGACUCUUUUUUACUCAAUUCUCUGUGAGCAUUUUACCGGUGUUAGAGUCUUCAGUCUCGGCAAGUGCAUUUUUCUCUCCUUAUUUUUUUUUCUUUUUGGACAUACACACGUCUCUUCUUUUUGUAUUACUUUUAGAUCUCUUAUUAUGCACUUGCCCUUUCUUUCAAGAUUACCACCCCAAACUUAGCUUUUUGCACAUUUUGUAACU